rnacentral:rRNA from 1 species
UGGUGGAGUGAUUUGUCUGGUUAAUUCCGUUAACGAACGAGACCUCGACCUGCUAAAUAGUUCGACCAAGGAUUCUUCCUUGGGUACGUGACUUCUUAGAGGGACUAUCGGUGUGUAGCCGACGGAAGUUCGAGGCAAUAACA